rnacentral:lncRNA from 1 species
UUGAACAAAGCCUUAUAAUUUGGAGGAGUUUCUAUAUAGAGGGAUAAAUUCUCAGCUUCACAAGGGAAUGGGGGCAAGGUUUCUCUGAACCACUCCAAUCUAAAUGAAAUCAUGAUAAAUCACAAAAAACAUCAGGAGGGACAAAUUGUUCAGAAUCAUAAAAAAUCUAUUAACAGUGGUAAAAUGUUAAUAAUCAGUGUUAAAGGAUUUGUAGACAGUAGACAUACUUUGCCAGACUUGAGACAUAUGCUUGAGAUCUUCAAUCCGAUUGGAUUGUGCAAGAAAUUCAUUCGCUUUAAUGUACCAGAAAGUGUCCACAUCACCUUCGUUCUUGAUGUAAACUUUCCAAGGAACUGGAGCAUGUACCAAAAAAAAGGAAUUGGAUUAUUCAUGUAAGAAAAGAAAGUAAAUUUGGAGUACCGAUGUCAACGACCCGUUUGAGGAAAUGACAGUCGAUCACAGACAGAUUCUCAAGCAGACUUAAGUUUCAAGAGAAGGGCAUGAAACAUGUAGUCCUUCAAAGCAUAACUCUUCAAUAUUAAUGUCCUUAAUUAUGCACAUCCCAUUUGUGUGGAAUACCAAAGGCCUAGGAAGCUUUCUCAAUCCAAGGGUAAAUUCUAGGUGGAUGUAUGAAUAGUCAGACUCUCAAGCUCGAAUAACCUAGAGAUACGCACACGUUCCAGACCCCAACUGCAUGAAAAACACAAAUCUUCAAGCAAAGGGCCUCUAGCGUUAGCUUCUUGAGUGAGAGGAACCCUACAGUAUCAGAGGGUCCCUUCAACUAGAUGUAAAGCGGUUUCCAAUUUAGCAGAAAAAGUCGUUUGAGGCACACUGUAUAUUGAAUUUCUAUCUGUUACUUUUACCUUAUUCUCAGCUGCAACACCUAUCCAUUCAUCAACAAGAUAAGCUGAGUUUUCAACAUCAAGCAGACAUUUUGAUAGCCUAAACUUUGAAGCGACGAAUCAACGUAUCUUACAAAUUCCUCCAUACAUUUCCGAAACAUCUUUGCUUUGUCCAUGUAUGAACAAUUAAUAUUUAGGAUUCAAAGCUGUUCCUAUGAAGUCCGUUAUAUCAAAAUCCAAGAUUGCGUAUGAUUUCUGCACUAAAUUCCAUCUCUUCGAUAGUGUACAGGUUUGAGCUACCUCUUUGGUGGGCAUGUGAGACAUAAUCAUUAUGUCAUGAAUAAUAUAACUUUAAUUAUAAAAAAAAAAAGGUCAAAUUUUGCAUGUAACUUUAAUUAGAAUUUUCCGGAUGCAAACUCAAUUUCUGAUUCAUUCCAAGGCUUGUAAAAUAAAUAAAAGAUACAAAGGAUGAUAAAAGAAAGUAAACAGAACCUUUCCGUAAAAGCCUUUUAUGGUCAGAGCAUUCACUGAGGACUGAAUAGAAAAAUUCUUUGAAAAUUCCGAGAGAUGUAUAUAUAGAUUAAAAGGGGUUUAAUUUUGGGAAGUGAAUCCUCCAAGUGAAAAGUUCCUGCUUUUUUCGAUUCGGA